rnacentral:lncRNA from 1 species
AUGUCUUCUAAUUAAGGAAAGGGAGUGAUAGAACUAUGUGGUUCUUGAGAAAGAGUACGUGCAAGUUAUUACUCUAUUUUCUUCUUCUACUAAUGAAGUUAAGCAAUACACUCAAAGAGAUGAAACAAGUAAGUUUUUUCAUGUCUCUUGAGAUUUAAUUACAUAUUUAACUGAAUCUACUGCUCAUAACAUGGUAAAUCAUUUUUUUUGGUUGAACAAAACAACUUAUUGAUAACAGCUUAUUCCCAAUUGGAUUGUAGUGAAGGACAAAGUGCUAUUUUUUAUAACAAAACAAUUUCUCAUGAUAACAACUUUUUUUAUCAAAUAAAACAACUUCUCCAUGUGCUAUUGGGAAGGGACAAGGAAAAGGACUUAACAACUGCCAGCUGCACCGAAUCAUACUCUUCAAUAAGAACAUAGAAAUGUGAUGUCAUAAGAAAUAUAGUACUCCCUUAACUAGAUGUCUGACUCAAUAAUCUUUAAAUGAUUUCAGAGAUGGCUUAGAUUUGUUAUUUGUUGAGAGCUGCAACUAUGAUAGAGUAUAGCAACCCCAGUGUAGUACUCCCGCAACGAGAUAAACAAACUUGAUAUUCUUUCAGCUAUUGUACUACAUCAAGACAUAUAAACUUAAAAAUUAUAGAUGUUUUAGACUUUGAUACACUACUGAAUGGACACUUGAGGUUCUAAUAAGAAACUUUAGGAGGCAACCACAACUUAGAAUUAAGUGAGGCUGCUAUGAGAAAGGGAAAAAAAAUUCAUCCGUUGAAUGGAAAUCAAAGAUAACAAUAUGAUGAAAUCAUUGUGUCCAGUACUCUUCUCUGUUUUUGUCACCAAACACUACAUCAAGAUGUAUAAACUUGAAAAUUAUAGACGUUUUAGACUUGUGAUGUAGUACCAAAUGGACCCUUAAAGUUCUAUUUUUGUGCAUCAUUUGAUGGUUUCUUAGCAUAUUAUUUGUAAUGUUGCAACAAUGUCUCGAUCUUUUAGUAUGGUUAUCUAUUUUUUUGGUACACUUCCUGUAUUCGAAAUAUUUUUGUUCUUAUUUGAUGAAAAAGAAAAAGAAAGCUCUAAGAAUGAUUUGUAAGAGAUAUAAAUCUUUUUUCCUAGAAGAUGAUCACAGUUCAAUGGAUAUCUAUAAUGUUUAGCAGUGAAGUAACUCUUUAUUGCAGCAGAUUAUGUGAUAAUGAACAUUGGAGCUGUAUUAAAACAUUUUUUUUUAUUGAAAAUGACCAAAAUGGUUACUUGAUCAUGGUGAUUGUUCUGAUUCAAGGGGUCGGCAUGGAAACUUUUUCUUGCAUUUGUGAUAAAAAUUUGAAUUAUUGGUUAAUGCAUCUCAAAGCUUGUUCAUGUUUCUGGAUAGCUCAAAACUUAUUCUUUCCUAAUUAAUUUUUUUUAAAUCCUUGCAGCUUGUUCAUGUAUCUAGAGAAUUUUGGAAAUUGAAGUUAUAAAUCAAGAUGUAAAUUAGAAGAUGAACAAGAUCAAUAUCAUUCUGUUAUGAAAGUUGUGUAAAACAUGAUUUCAUAGUUUAGCUCGAGAUGUUAAUCACCUACGUUUUAUUUGUUAAGAAAAUAUUGAAAUCUAAGUUUUGUUAACCAAUAUUUAUCAGUGUUUUCUAUGGAAAUUUCAGUAGCAAUCUUAUAUUGAUUGAUAA